UAGAGGAAGUAAAAGUCGUAACAAGGUCUCCGUUGGUGAACCAGCGGAGGGAUCAUUACCGAGUUUACAACUCCCAAACCCCUGUGAACAUACCUUAAACGUUGCCUCGGCGGAUCAGCCCGCGCCCCGUAAAACGGGACGGCCCGCCGCAGGACCCUUAAACUCUGUUUUCUAAAAGUAAAUUCUGAGUCUAAAAAACAAAUAAAUCAAAACUUUCAACAACGGAUCUCUUGGUUCUGGCAUCGAUGAAGAACGCAGCAAAAUGCGAUAAGUAAUGUGAAUUGCAGAAUUCAGUGAAUCAUCGAAUCUUUGAACGCACAUUGCGCCCGCCAGUAUUCUGGCGGGCAUGCCUGUUCGAGCGUCAUUUCAACCCUCAAGCCCCCGGGUUUGGUGUUGGGGAUCGGGCUUAACCUCUAAGCCCGGCCCCGAAAUCUAGUGGCGGUCUCGCUGCAGCCUCCAUUGCGUAGUAGCUAACACCUCGCAACUGGAACGCGGCGCGGCCAAGCCGUUAAACCCCCAACUUCUGAAUGUUGACCUCGGAUCAGGUAGGAAUACCCGCUGAACUUAAGCAUAUCAAUAAGCGGAGGAA
rnacentral:rRNA from 1 species